AAAAAAGCUACUAAGGGCAUAUGGUGAAUAUCUUGGCAGUAAGAGGCGAUGAAGGACGUAGUUAAUCUGCGAUAAGCUUCGGUUAGUCGAUAAUCAGACUUUGAUCCGGAGAUUUCCGAAUGGGGCAACCCAGCUACGUGAAGGCGUAGUUACCCACGACUGAGUAAAGUAGGUCGUGUGGAGCGAACCGAGGGAACUGAAACAUCUAAGUACCUCGAGGAAAAGAAAUCAAUUGAGAUUCUGCAAGUAGCGGCGAGCGAACGCAGAAUAGCCCAAACCAUAUAGCGUGCUAUGUGGGGUUGUAGGACUUGCAUCAAGGUGAGAACGAUAGAAGAAGUGUCUGGGAAGGCACACCAAAGAGAGUGAAAGUCUCGUAAUCGAAAUUGUUUAAGCUGGGCGAGUAUCCUGAGUAGGACGGGACACGAGAAAUCCUGUUUGAAUCUGGGAAGACCACUUUCCAAGGCUAAAUACUACUUACUGACCGAUAGUGUACUAGUACCGUGAGGGAAAGAUGAAAAGAACCCCGAUAAGGGGAGUGAAAUAGAAUUUGAAACCGUAUGCUUACAAACAGUUAGAGGGCUAUUGUAUAAGCCUGAUAGCGUACCUUUUGCAUUAUGACUCAGCGAGUUAUGGUGUGUGGCAAGAUUAAGCCGUUGCAGGUGUAGUCGUAGGGAAACCAAGUCUUAAUAGGGCGAACUAAGUCGCAUGCUGUAGACCCGAAACGGAGUGAGCUAUCCAUGAGCAGGUUGAAGCUGGGGUAAGACCUAGUGGAGGACCGAACGCUCGAAAGUUGAAAAUUUCUGCGAUGACUUGUGGAUAGGGGUGAAAGGCCAAUCAAACUCCGUGAUAGCUGGUUCUCCUCGAAAUGCAUUUAGGUGCAGCGUUAGAUGUUUACCACCGGGGGUAUAGCACUGAAUUGGCUAGGGGGCUUACCAGCUUACCAAACCAUAUCAAACUCAGAAUACCGGUGAGUAUAGUCUAGCAGUGAGACUAUGGAUGCUAAGGUCCAUAGUCGAAAGGGAAAGAGCCCAGACCAACAGCUAAGGUCCCAAAAUGAUAACUAAGUGGUAAAGGUUGUGGAACUACUUUGACAUCCAGGAGGUUGGCUUAGAAGCAGCCAUCCUUUAAAGAAAGCGUAAUAGCUCACUGGACUAGUGGUUCUGCGCCGAAAAUGUAACGGGGCUAAAGUUAUCUACCGAAGCUUUGGACUAAUUUAUUAGUGGUAGAGGAGCAUUGUGUUUGCCGACGAAGGUAUACCGUAAGGAAUAUUGGAGGUUUCACAAGCGAUGAUGCUGAGAUGAGUAGCGAUUAGGGUGGCGAGAAUCCACCCCGCCGAAAACCUAAGGGUUCCUGGGCCAGGUGACUCCGCCCAGGGUAAGUCGGAGCCUAAGGCGAGGCCGAAAGGCGUAGUCGAUGGAUAACAGGUUAAUAUUCCUGUACUUAGUAUAUAACGUUUGACUGAAGGAGUGACGGAGAAAGGUAGCGCAUCCGGGUGUUGGAUAUCCCGGUUUAAGCAAGUAGGUGGGACUGGUAGGCAAAUCCGCCGGUCUAUUUAAACAUCGAGACGUGAUGACGAGAGCGAAAGCUCAUAAAGUGUGUGAUCCUCUGCUUCCAAGAAAAGCUUCGUAGGGAGUUGUAUAUUAAUCCGUACCGUAAACCGACACAGGUAGGUGAGGAGAGAAUCCUCAGGCGUUUGGACGAACUCUAGUUAAGGAACUCUGCAAAAUUGUGCCGUAACUUCGGGAGAAGGCACGCCACCGACGGUGAAUUCACUUGCUGAUGUAGCGGUUGGUGGCCGCAGUGAAAAGGGGGUAGCGACUGUUUAUCAAAAACAUAGGUCUAUGCAAACUCGUAAGAGGAAGUAUAUGGACUGACGCCUGCCCGGUGCUGGAAGGUUAAAAGGUGAGGUUAGCGCAAGCGAAGCUUUGAAUUGAAGCCCCAGUAAACGGCGGCCGUAACUAUAACGGUCCUAAGGUAGCGAAAUUCCUAGUCGGGUAAGUUCCGACCUGCACGAAUGGCGUAACGACUUCCCCGCUGUCUCAACUAGAGGUCCAGUGAAAUUGGUGUGCGCGUGAAGAAACGCGCUACCCGCGGUAGGACGAAAAGACCCCGUGAACCUUUACUGUAGCUUGGCAUUGGGUUUCGGUCAGCAUUGCGUAGGAUAGGUGGGAGCCGUUGAGGCGUACGUUCUGGCGUACGAUUAGGCGACGUUGAAAUACCACCCUAUGCUGUCUGGAAUCCUAACCUAGCAUCCUAAUCGGGUGUGGGGACAAUGUCUGGUAGGCAGUUUGACUGGGGCGGUCGCCUCCUAAAGAGUAACGGAGGCGCACGAAGGUUCCCUCAGCCUGAAUGGAAACCAGGCGUAGAGUGUAAACGCAUAAGGGAGCUUGACUGCGAGACUUACAAGUCGCGCAGGUGCGAAAGCAGGUGUUAGUGAUCCGGUGGUUCCGAGUGGAAGGGCCAUCGCUUAACGGAUAAAAGGUACUCCGGGGAUAACAGGCUGAUCUCCUCCAAGAGUUCACAUCGACGAGGAGGUUUGGCACCUCGAUGUCGGCUCAUCGCAUCCUGGGGCUGGAGCAGGUCCCAAGGGUUUGACUGUUCGUCAAUUAAAGCGGUACGCGAGCUGGGUUCAGAACGUCGUGAGACAGUUCGGUCUCUAUCCACCGUGGGCGUAAGAAAUUUGAGAGGAGCUGACCUUAGUACGAGAGGACCGGGUUGGACAAACCUCUGGUGUAUCGGUUGUGGCGCCAGCUGCAUCGCCGGGUAGCUAAGUUUGGACGGGAUAACCACUGAAAGCAUCUAAGUGGGAAGCCCCCCUCAAGAUAAGAUUUCUAUUAGGGAGCUUGUAGACUACGAGCUUGAUAGGUUGGGUGUGUAAGCGCUGUGAGGCGUUGAGCUGACCAAUACUAAAUCCCCAUUUUGCUUUUUUUA
rnacentral:rRNA from 1 species